rnacentral:rRNA from 1 species
UACGUAGGGGGCAAGCGUUGUCCGGAUUUAUUGGGCGUAAAGAGCGUGUAGGCGGUUAUGCAGGUCCGCUGUGAAAACUGGAGGCUUAACCUCCAGACGUCGGUGGAAACCGUAUAACUAGAGUCCGGAAGAGGAGAGUGGAAUUCCUGGUGUAGCGGUGAAAUGCGCAGAUAUCAGGAAGAACACCCGUGGCGAAGGCGGCUCUCUGGGACGGUACUGACGCUGAGACGCGAAAGCGUGGGGAGCGAACAGG